UGGGGAAUUUUGGACAAUGGGCGAAAGCCUGAUCCAGCAAUGCCGCGUGUGUGAAGAAGGCCUUCGGGUUGUAAAGCACUUUUGUCCGGAAAGAAAUCCUUGGCUCUAAUACAGUCGGGGGAUGACGGUACCGGAAGAAUAGGCACCGGCUAACUACGUGCCAGCAGCCGCGGUAAUACGUAGGGUGCAAGCGUUAAUCGGAAUUACUGGGCUAAAGCGUGCGCAGGCGGUUUGCUAAGACCGAUGUGAAAUCCCCGGGCUCAACCUGGGAACUGCAUUGGUGACUGGCAGGCUAGAGUAUGGCAGAGGGGGGUAGAAUUCCACGUGUAGCAGUGAAAUGCGUAGAGAUGUGGAGGAAUACCGAUGGCGAAGGCAGCCCCCUGGGCCAAUACUGACGCUCAUGCACGAAAGCGUGGGGAGCAAACAGGAUUAGAUACCCUGGUAGUCCACGCCCUAAACGAUGUCAACUAGUUGUUGGGGAUUCAUUUCCUUAGUAACGUAGCUAACGCGUGAAGUUGACCGCCUGGGGAGUACGGUCGCAAGAUUAAAACUCAAAGGAAUUGACGGGGUCAUAGCUGUUUCCU
rnacentral:rRNA from 1 species